AAGAACAAACGCACCUUGUCUUCUGUCAGGAAGAUGUCGCUCAAGAAGCCAGCGCUGCUGGAUUGUAGGAAUUCAGCGCAAGAAGCUCUGUUAACCUACCUGGCAUGAGGAUGGAGGAUCUACCUUCCACUGCCCCUCAUCCACUACCACAAUGGCAGCAGAGUGGCAAGAAUUCCAGGAAGGAGGAGUUUGUGGGAUGGGAGAAGGAAGACAAGAGCACCUGCAAUAUGGGAGGAUGCUUCUUCUCAAACAGGGGAUCCAGUGACCAAGUACCUGGAAAAAAAAAAAGAAAAGACUCAUGAGGCAAGGAACGGAGCGAAGCCUCCAGCCAAAAAUUAGCCAAGAACUGAGGUUUU